UGAACUAAAGUAUUAAUGGUCUGACCACUGUUUUUCCUAAAUUUAUUUAGCUUCUAGUGCAGCUUGAACUCAGAUACUUUUUUUAAAAGAAGACAGCGACACUAUUAUGUUUACAAUAUUUAAACUCAUCCAUUUCUUGCGCCUUUUUAUUUUUUGCAAUAAUAAUAAUAGCAAUAAUAAACACUGUAUUUCAAAGGUUAUUUCAGUUGAUGCGCACGUGUGUAUCUGGUCUUACAUGUGCAUACACACGCUCACACACUGCAUGCAGAUUUUUUUGCAGGGAGUGGUCACUCCCCGAGUUUAAACAACAGUUGAGGAGGGAGAUCCUGCCUCCAGGAGCCAGCCAAUCACAUCACUGUAUUUAAAGAUGAAAGUUGGUUCCAUUAAGGAAGUCCCACGUUACCCGCAGCACUCUCGACUCCUUUCACAACAGACUCUGUUUUUUCCUGCCUGUCAAUGCCAGGAACCCAUUAAGGAGCAGUGGUAGGGGACAAGUCAGGGAAACAAUGUGAGGAUGGACCACACCAUUGUUCCCUGGUGGAGCGCUGUCUGAAACGUCCUGUCGUUUUACUUUAUUUCUUACCAAACUGCAGUGCACGUGUCCACGGUUCAUCCAUAAAACCUGGAUGCAUUAAAAACAGUUCCUCUGUUUUUAAUCACAGGAGGCUCCAUCCCUACCAACAACCUCAGUGCUGCAGGGCCGGGGAUUUACAAGUUCUGGCUCAUAAACUGCUAACGCAAAUGUGGUUUGAGGCACAAGUGCAAAACAACGCAAUCACAGAGAACUUUAAAACUUUUAAUCAAACGUUAAGUACCUGGAAGCAUCUUUAAUUGUUGGACUCCUAAUGGUAAUUAAGCAAAGAUAUUGGAAACCUGCAGCACAGAGACACGAUGCCCAAAAUAAAUGAAAAGCAAAAUCUUUAAACUUAGUCCAUCAGUGAAACUUGACGAUGAGGUGCGUCUUAUACACGUAGCUUCAUGAUUUUCCAUGAAUACUGCAGUACUAUUUCAGUCAUUAUUUACAUUAUAUAUAAAUAAAAAAAUCUAUACAUUUAUCCUCCGAUGUCAUGUGAUCACACUGGCUGUAGGUUUGUUUAAAUGACCUGUCAUUUUCUAUUUUGUAAACUCUCUCAGUUAAACAGUGUAGAGUUGCAAGAAACCCAUCUGUGGUGCACGAGUUAAUAAUCAAUGAGAUGAGCGAUAAGGUCUCUGAGGUCAUUUGAUCAACACCAGACGGACUGAUUCACGUUGGUUUGUCAACAGAACCAGGCUGAUGGUAACAUGGAUUCAGAGGCUGUUACAGAUGCAGGCCGUCUGUGCUCUGCUGGUAAUCCUUGGGACCCAGAGACACCUGCAUAGCUAAUGUCAAUAUGCAUUAAUCAUUUAAGACUGAUGUUCCAAAGUGGCUCAUUUUAUUUAAAAAUAAAUGCAUUUACAUCUUUUUAGAGAUCCACAUCUGACACACACACACACACUCCAGACCAUGUGAUUGAAAAACUGACUGUUUUUUUUUUUUUCUCAAGGUAUUCAGACUGUGGGAAAAGGCGGUUGAGUGAACAGCUGUGCAGCAGGUCCAAAGUCUACAACAGCACCUCUGUCCUGAUAGGAGCUCAACCUCCUGCCGCUGCUGAUAGUGAGGAAAACAUCUCCAGCUUUGGGAUAUAAGCAUGUAUCAACAGACGGGAACCAAGACUCACAGACCUAAAGGAAAACAUCACUACGACACUGGAGUUGACAAUGUGUGAAAUACAUGGUGUAUCAGGCCACGGUUUUGAGCUGCCACACCACCCACCUCUGCUGCUCUGGCCGUGACAGCUUCAAGCCUCCUGGGACAAAGCCUUCUUUGAUAAAGACUGAUGUUAUAGCAGUCAGUGCAUGGAGAAUGAUCCUCAUUACUACCACAGGUUAGAGGUUACAUUCCUGAUGGAUCUGUUGGUAGGUGGCGUCUCUGACAUGCCUGCAU